rnacentral:rRNA from 1 species
AGCAGCCGCGGUAAUUCCAGCUCCAAUAGCGUAUAUUAAAGUUGUUGCAGUUAAAAAGCUCGUAGUUGAAUUUCGGGAUCAGUACGCUGGUCAUGCCUUUGGUAUGCACUGGUGUCACUGGUUUCUCCCUUCUGAAGAUCCGUGAUGUCAUUAAUUUGGUGUCGCGGGGAAUCAGGACUGUUACUUUGAAAAAUUAGAGUGUUUAAAGCAGGCUCACGCUUGAAUACAUUAGCAUGGAAUAAUGAAAUAGGACGUUUGACCCUAUUUUGUUGGUUUCUAGGAUCGACGUAAUGAUUAAUAGGGAUAGUUGGGGGCAUUAGUAUUCAAUUGUCAGAGGUGAAAUUCUUGGAUUUAUUGAAGACUAACUACUGCGAAAGCAUUUGCCAAGGAUGUUUUCAUUAAUCAAGAACGAAAGUUAGGGGAUCGAAGACGAUCAGAUACCGUCGUAGUCUUAACCAUAAACUAUGCCGACUAGGGAUCGGAUGAUGUUAAUUUUAUAAUGACUCAUUC